GCGUAAUGUGAAAGCGUGUGUACCAAGCUUCGUGUGCAAAAGUAUCUUUCUGACGCUUCUGUUACGAUUUGUAGUGACUGUUUAUCAACAUUGCAGUCUGAGAUUUGUGAUUACUUGACUGAAACACAUAUCCAGUGAAGAAUUUGGAGGGGUGUCAGUCUUGGUCCCUCGCCACAUCGAAAGAACAGCUGAAAGGAGUAUGUGAACAGGGCAUGACAGGAAAGAAGACAGCUGAAUAACGAGGAGUUUAAGAAGAUUUUGUUACGGUGAUCAACUGAAGAUGGACGAGAUGCGCUAAGAUGUAGCACGCGUGAGAGAGUAUUGAUUUUCUUGGACCCGACACAGCAGCUCAUCACUACCACGCCAUUUUCAGUUUUUUCUUACGAUUUUAUGGUCCUCAGCUGGGAGCUGAGUGCAGGAACAGCAAAAUAAAAUGGCGUUCAAGCUGGAAACUAGAGAAACCCUGACAUCAGCACUUUGUUAAAGAGGAAGUGUUGUCGUGUGCGUGGUUAUUUAAACUGCAGACCAGCAACAUUCAUAAAGCAAGACGCAAGACGAAGCCCUUCAGAAUGCUUCCUAGCUACUGUUAAUUAAAUUAAAUUGAUUCAGAACGCAGACUAUUUUCAAAAACUUAAUAAGAACUUUCUUUCUUAAAACAAAAUUAAUUGCGACGCAGUUCAGAUACUGACACCCCUUCUUAUUUAAGAGAUUCUCUCAUUCUCUCUAUUCUGAGUGUCUUCGUAGUUUUAUUCAGUCUUUCAAAGUAAAUUCUGUAUUAAUACUUAAAACACAUCCCAGUUUAUUUCGGUAUCCACUGCAAUUAUCUUGCCAAGAGUCAUAAAACAAAGUGCAUAGAUAUACAAGGGAUAUUAAAAAAGUUUUCGCAAUUUUGGGACAUUUUUGUUGUGUGACUGGUAACACUGCUGAGGCAUGGUCAUACUGUGCGUAUCUCAUGGACAGACGGUGGCAUGCUGCGAGUAUGGUUCAGUUGCAGUUUGUUUGUGCCUAGCGAGAGUGACGUAUAAAGAUUGGUGCUCCGCUAGAGGUUUGUACCAUAGAGCGUCGGAAUAACACCGACAAUUGACUGUCCAAUGUGGAAAAAGAAAGUUUGCCGUAACGAAGUUUAUACGAGUGGAUUGAAAUAUUUACAAAGCGGCCGAAACAGUGUUUUCGAUGCAAACAGAACUGCUUCAGCAGUGUUGUUAAUCAUGCAGCGAAAACUUUUUAAUGUUGAGGAAACUUUUUAAUCUCCCUUUUACGUGUUCUACACGUGUACGGUUUGUAUGUGCUGUUCGAAUUUUCCGUU